AUUCCGUGUAGUUUCUGGAAACGAAGACAUCAGAUGGCAAAGGUCGAGCAGCAGAAUGUCUUUGAAACAACUGUGCCUAUGACCACGUUCAUGCAUCGUGCUAGACAAGGUUUGGUUAUUGACGUAGAAGGGACAUAUCUGGCCUGACUG